rnacentral:rRNA from 1 species
UACGAAGGGGGCUAGCGUUGUUCGGAAUUACUGGGCGUAAAGCGUGCGCAGGCGGCUUCUCAAGUCAGGGGUGAAAGCCCAGAGCUCAACUCUGGAAUUGCCUUUGAAACUGAGUGGCUUGAGUACGAGAGAGGUGAGUGGAAUUCCCAGUGUAGAGGUGAAAUUCGUAGAUAUUGGGAAGAACACCGGUGGCGAAGGCGGCUCACUGGCCCGUUUCUGACGCUCAGGCGCGACAGCGUGGGGAUCAAACAGG